rnacentral:rRNA from 1 species
AUAAGAUCCGUAGUCGAAAGGGAAACAGCCCAGACCACCAGUUAAGGUCCCCAAAUAUAUGUUAAGUGGAAAAGGAUGUGGGGUUGCUUAGACAACCAGGAUGUUGGCUUAGAAGCAGCCACCAUUGAAAGAGUGCGUAAUAGCUCACUGGUCGAGUGACCCCGCGCCGAAAAUGUACCGGGGCUAAACAUAUUACCGAAACUGUGGAUGAACCUCUUUAGAGGUUCGUGGUAGGAGAGCGUUCUAAGGGCGGUGAAGUCAGACCGGAAGGACUGGUGGAGCGCUUAGAAGUGAGAAUGCCGGUAUGAGUAGCGAAAGAAGGGUGAGAAUCCCUUCCACCGAAUAUCUAAGGUUUCCUGAGGAAGGCUCGUCCGCUCAGGGUUAGUCGGGACCUAAGCCGAGGCCGAUAGGCGUAGGCGAUGGACAACAGGUAGAGAUUCCUGUACCAGUGCUAAUUGUUUAACCGAUGGGGUGACACAGAAGGAUAGGGAAUCGCACGAAUGGAAAUGUGCGUCCAAGCAGUGAGUGUGAGAAGUAGGCAAAUCCGCUUCUCGCGAAGCAUGAGCUGUGAUGGGGAAGGAAAUUAAGUACGGAAGUUCCUGAUUUCACGCUGUCAAGAAAAGCCUCUAGGAAGAGUAGUACUGCCCGUACCGCAAACCGACACAGGUAGAUGAGGAGAGAAUCCUAAGGUGAGCGAGAGAACUCUCGUUAAGGAACUCGGCAAAAUGACCCCGUAACUUCGGGAGAAGGGGUGCUCUAUUAGGGUGCAAGCCCGAGAGAGCCGCAGUGAAUAGGCCCAGGCGACUGUUUAGCAAAAACACAGGUCUCUGCAAAACCGUAAGGUGACGUAUAGGGGCUGACGCCUGCCCGGUGCUGGAAGGUUAAGAGGAGUGCUUAGCUUCGGCGAAGGUACGAAUUGAAGCCCCAGUAAACGGCGGCCGUAACUAUAACGGUCCUAAGGUAGCGAAAUUCCUUGUCGGGUAAGUUCCGACCCGCACGAAAGGCGCAACGAUCUGGGCACUGUCUCAACGAGAGACUCGGUGAAAUUAUAGUACCUGUGAAGAUGCAGGUUACCCGCGACAGGACGGAAAGACCCCGUGGAGCUUUACUGCAACCUGAUAUGGAAUGUUUGUACCGCUUGUACAGGAUAGGUAGGAGCCGAAGAGACGUGUGCGCUAGCAUACGAGGAGGCAAUGGUGGGAUACUACCCUGGCUGUAUGACCAUUCUAACCCGCCACGCUUAGCGCGUGGGGAGACAGUGUCAGGUGGGCAGUUUGACUGGGGCGGUCGCCUCCUAAAGAGUAACGGAGGCGCCCAAAGGUUCCCUCAGAAUGGAUGGAAAUCAUUCGCAGAGUGUAAAGGCACAAGGGAGCUUGACUGCGAGACUGACAAGUCGAGCAGGGACGAAAGUCGGGCUUAGUGAUCCGGUGGUUCCGCAUGGAAGGGCCAUCGCUCAACGGAUAAAAGCUACCCCGGGGAUAACAGGCUUAUCUCCCCCAAGAGUCCACAUCGACGGGGAGGUUUGGCACCUCGAUGUCGGCUCGUCGCAUCCUGGGGCUGUAGUCGGUCCCAAGGGUUGGGCUGUUCGCCCAUUAAAGCGGCACGCGAGCUGGGUUCAGAACGUCGUGAGACAGUUCGGUCCCUAUCCGUCGCGGGCGCAGGAAAUUUGAGAGGAGCUGUCCUUAGUACGAGAGGACCGGGAUGGACACACCGCUGGUGUACCAGUUGUUCCGCCAGGAGCAUCGCUGGGUAGCUAUGUGUGGCAGGGAUAAACGCUGAAAGCAUCUAAGCGUGAAGCCCCCCUCAAGAUGAGAUUUCCCAUUUCUUCGGAAAGUAAGAUCCCUGAAAGAUGAUCAGGUAGAUAGGUUUGGAGUGGAAGUGUAGCGAUACAUGGAGCGGACAAAUACUAAUCGAUCGAGGACUUAACCAAAA